rnacentral:lncRNA from 1 species
AACAGCCUCAUAGUGGAUAAUGUAAAUUUACUGUUGCAGGUCUGAGAAUUGGCCUCGCAACUCUGGUGCUGAGUGGGGAGUUUCAAGGUGACUGCUUUGUAGCUCCAGGGGAGAAAGGAGGGCAUGGUGCCCAAGGCUGUGCCGGGGCAAGGACGGGUGGUUGGCUCCUCGCCGGCCGGUAGGUAGGUAAUCUUGAUGAGGAGGGACAGCCUAGCGGCGACGCUUAGCUGCGUGCUGACAUGGCUCCCGCCUGCUUGUUUAUCUGUAAGGAGAGUGGGGAGUGGGGGGAAGGGCAGCCCAGCCUCAGCGACCCAGCCAAGGGUGAAUCCUCACUUGUUUAAGAACCAGGAGAGAGAGGACUUCUACACGGAUGCCCUUUCUAAACCUCUGCUGCGGGGUGGCGAAGACACUUGUGCACGUUAUCUUUCUUUUCAGGGUCAACCAGACAGAGGCAAAGCCAGACCUAGGGCCUCUCGGCUGACAAAUGUUGCCUCUGCCACAGGAGAGGAGGAGAAAAGAAGGCCAAAGAAACAAAGAGAUCACACAUUUUGAAGUGGUUGGACUUUUUAAAAACCUACCUUUGCCUCCAGGGUUUUCUGGGUUACUGUCAUCCUGGCUUUUUAAAAAGGGACCCCGUCUCCCCCCCCCCCAUUUAAGACCUGAAGAAGUUUCCCCACUGUUCUCCCAGGGAAAGAAAAGGGGGGAAUGUUUUGUUUAAAAGAAAAGGGGUUACAAGAAAGAAAGAAGGAAAGAAAGAAAAAGCCAUUGUUUUCAUCCCUAAUUUAUAAUCCAAGAGGCCCCAUUGUUUCUUUCUUUCUGACUCAAAUCUUUGGGCUGUUAAUUAUAAAAGUAACCGGACUCCGCUCCAACAGGCUAACUAUGUUCUUGCGCAGCCAUUAGAAAAACUCUGUAGAAAGUUUACUGAGUGAUUAUAUAUAAUUAAUUCCUAGUUACAGACGGAACACUGACCAUUUUCUGCAGCUAAUAAAAGCAGUCACUCCCCCUCCCCCACGUGAAUGCCACUUAAUUUCCCAAAGCAGAAAGUGAAUCCAUCCUGGAGGGUCUUGAAGGAAAAAAAAGAGAGAGAGAGAGAAAGAGAGAGAGAGAGAGAGAAGAAUCAGCUCCAGUGUGUCUGUGUUUGUUCCUCGCAGCUGUGCGUCCUCUUUGGGGACUGAGGAGGCAGAAGGAAAAAGGAAAACAACCCAAGUUCCGCACCUCCCUCUGAAAUUUAUAACCGUGGCAGAAAGAUCACUCUACCUUGAUUGAAAAAGAACAAGGGAGGGGGAGGGAAUGCCCCAGGAAUGGAAUGUAGGAGACUCUUCAGCUUGGCGGAUCAGCUUCUCCUAAAAGGAACAAAGAUGGUAGAAACUUCCAGAAGGCCCGUUCUCAGUCUGGCCACUCCAAUUGUCAAUCUGUAACCUUCCCUCCAAGUCUAUUGGUUCAAAGCUGCAGAGAGGAGCCCCAUUGGGCUGCUCUGUAAGCCAGCACUGCUGUCCCUACCUAGUCCUGCUGCAAUGCAGACAUUUCUUUUUUUCCCCCUUAGUGAAGCUGGAAAAGAAGCUACUUUGGAAACAAUUAACUUUUUACAGACUCAUGCUUGGUGGUGGCCACAGCACCAGAGGAAAGUGGCCAGCCUGGUCCAGGGCCGGGAACCUGCUGGGGCUGCACAUUUGAAAACAGACCUUGGAGCU